CUCACUGUAGAUUAGUUUUUUAAUGUUGUUUGGUUGCCUUUCUAUAGUGUUGACAGACUCACUGUAGAUCAGUUUUUUUAAUGUUGUUUGUGUUGCCUUCUUAGUGUUGACAGACUCACUGUAAUCAGUUUUUAAUGUUGUUUGGUUGCUUCUAUAGUGUUUGACAGACUCACGUAGAUUAGUUUUUUUUAAUGUUUUUUGUUGCCUUUCUAUAGUGUUGACAGACUCACUGUAGAUUAGUUUUUUUGUUGUUUGUUGCCUUUCUAUAGUGUUGACGACUCACUGUAGAUCAGUUUUUUUAAUGUUGUUUGGUUGCCUUUCUAUAGUGUUGACAGACUCACUGUAGAUUAGUUUUUUAAUGUUGUUUGGUUGCCUUUCUAUAGUGUUGACAGACUCACUGUAGAUUAGUUUUUUUUUAAUGUUUUUUUGGUUGCCUUUCUAUAGUGUUGACAGACACUGUAGAUUGUUUUUUAAUGUUGUUUGGUGCUUUCUAUAGUUUUGACGACUCACUGUAGAUUAGUUUUUUAAUGUUGUUUGGUUGCUUUCUAUAGUGUUGACAGACUCACUGUAGAUAAAGAAGUUAGUUUUUUAAUGUUUUUGGUUGCCUUUCUAUAGUGUUGACAGACUCACUGUAAUCAGUUUUUUAAUUGUUUGGUUGUUUUCUAUAGUGUUGACAGACUCACUGUAGAUCAGUUUUUAAUGUUGUUUGGUUGCCUUUCUAUAGUGUUGACAGACUCACUGUAGAUUAGUUUUUUUUAAUGUUUUUUGGUUGCCUUUCUAUAGUGUUGACAGACUCACUGUAGAUUAGUUUUUUAAUGUUGUUUUGGUUGCUUCUAUAGUGUUGACAGACUCACUGUAGAUCAGUUUUUUAAUGUUUUUGGUUGCCUUUCUAUAGUGUUGACAGACUCACUGUAGAUAGUGUUUGUUUACUUUUAUGUUUUUGGUUGCCUUUCUAUAGUGUUGACAGAUCACUGUAGAUUAGUUUUUUAUGUUGUUUUGGUUUUUUCUUUGUUAACUGUGUUAAGUUGUUUGGUUGCCUUUCUAUAGUGUUGACAGACUCACUGUAGAUAGUUUUUAAUGUUGUUGGUUGCCUUCUAUAGUGUUGACAGACUACUGUAGAUUAGUUUUUUAUAGUGUUGACAGCAUGUAGAUUAGUUUUUUAAUGUUGUUUGUUGCCUUUUAUAGUGUUGACAGACUCACUGUAGAUUAGUUUUUUAAUGUUGUUUGGUUGCCUUUCUAUAGUGUUGACAGACUCACUGUAGAUAAGUUUUUUUUAAUGUUUUUUGGUUGCCUUUCUAUAGUGUUAAAAGACCAUGUAGAUUAAUAUUAUCAGUUUUUUAAUGUUGUUGGUUGCCUUUCUAUAGUGUUGACAGACGUCACUGUAGAUCAGUUUUUAAUGUUGUUUGGUUGCCUUUCUAUAGUGUUGACAACUCACUGUAGCUUUUUUUUAAUGUUUUUUGGUUGCCUUUUCUAUAGUGUUGACAGACUCACUGGUAGAUUAGUUUUUUAUGUUUUUGGUUGCCUUUCUAUAGUUGACAGACUCACUGUAAUGUUUUUUAAUGUUGUUUGGUUGCCUUUCUAUAGUGUUGACAGACUCACUGUAGAUCAGUUUUUUAAUGUUGUUUGGUUGCCUUUCUAUAGUGUUGACAGACUCACUGUAGAUUAGUUUUUUUAAUGUUUUUUGGUUGCCUUUCUAUAGUGUUGACAGACUCACUGUAGAUUAAUUUUUUAAUGUUGUUUGGUUGCCUUUCUAUAGUGUUGACAGACUCACUGUAGAUUAGUUUUUUUUAAUGUUGUUUGGUUGCCUUUCUAUAGUGUUGACAGACUCACUGUAGAUUAGUUUUUUAAUGUUGUUUGGUUGCCUUUCUAUAGUGUUGACAGACUCACUGUAGAUUAGUUUUUUAAUGUUGUUUGGUUGCCUUUCUAUAGUGUUGACAGAC
rnacentral:lncRNA from 1 species